rnacentral:tRNA from 1 species
GAUUCCAUGGCCCAAUGGAUAAGGCGCUGGUCUACGGAACCAGAGAUUCUGGGUUCGAUCCCAGUGGAAUCG